CCCGCUAGUCACUUAUAACGGAGGAGGCAAAUGGCAGCCCGCAGCAGCAGCGGGCGCAUGGGGGAAGAUGGCCGCACGCCAGCACGGCCGCGUCCUGCCGCCCUUCCACAGGGACACGGGGGUGGGCUCGGGGCCGGGCCGGGGACUGCAGCGGGCAUCACCGGGAGGUUUGUUUGUGUUGUGUAACCAGGGCUCGGCACGCGCGUUGGGUAACGCCGCCGACAUUUCACCUACUUUCAAGCCACUGCUGCGACGAAUCCGUUUGGCCCCAAGUUGUUUUCGCCUCCAAGGAAAGGGGUGGAAAGGAGAGAAUCAAUACAGCUGCCAUCCCUUAUUGGGAGGAAUCUACAGAUCUCACCUUGAUUUACUGGGGAGAUCGAUAUCUCAACCUUCAUUAAAGUGGGUGCUAUGUUGGACUGGAUAAGGCUCACCUGCUGCGAGAGCAAAUUGUGUGCGGAUGCCUGUCCGCAUAUGUGGAGAUCAUUCAGCGUGGUCUUCGUGUACUCAAGGCUGGAUGCUGUACAGUUCGCCAGCUACCGCAGGGCUGCAUGCAGUUAGCUCAGCACCAGGCCUGGAAAGACAGGGGCAAGUUCCAUAUAUACGGAGUGGGGACACUGCCUGGCAGAUCCUCCUGACUCAAAACUCUAUCUGUGCUUUCCCUUUUGUCAGAGUGGCAGCUUCAGUACAAUCUGACUUUAUUAAAACACGUGCGAGCACGGGUUCAGUGUCGUACAUCUUCCUUUACAGGAGAUGGUCUCAAGAUAGUUCUUCAUUGAUGCAGCGGUAGUAUCAGUGAUGUUCUCCUUCAUUUUAAAAGCUGGACUCACUGUUCCUCAUCUUUUAUAGGGAGAUAAUAUGAACUGUAAAUUAAUUGUAGGAGUAGAGAAAUGGGUAUGAUGUAUUCCAGGUCCACAUUAUGGCAGUCUAAAUCAAUGUCUGGGAAGGAAGGGCUUCUCCACAAAUCCUCAGAGCACAGUGAAGAAAGGGUGUUGAGUAUAUGGCUAGGAAGGAAGGAGAUGGCAAGAGCAACUUCUACACAAAGACUGCUGCUGGCAUGAUUUUUCUUUGCAGCAUCACAGUCUCCGCAGAAAUAGCUGAUCUCACUGCAUUUUAGAGCUGCUAAUUCAGGCCUGAAGUUUGCUGUCUCUCUCCCCAGAAGCCAGUAAUCACCAUCUUUCCUACCAUCUUCCCUCAAAAGAUCUCAAAGCACAGCUGAAAAAAGUAAGACCUUUUCUCUCAUCACCUACUGAACAUCCACCUCCUCCCCAGGACUGUUUGGAGUGCUGUGGAGACCCCAGCAGGGAGCCUUUCGUAUUUAGGCUACUGAAUUGAUUGGAGCUCGGAUUAUCAGUGACCAGAAGUAAAUGCCAGUUGAUGCAGCCA
ensembl:lncRNA